GCGGACGUGGCGGAAUGGUAGACGCAAGGGACUUAAAAUCCCUAGAAGCGAAAGCUUCGUCCCGGUUCGAGUCCGGGCGUCCGCACCA
rnacentral:tRNA from 1 species